GUGAACUUGGGAUCACUGGAAGACCGCAAAACUGUGGUCUAGUUCGUGGACUAGCUUGUGGAUUUUCUUGAAGGUUCUAGCUUGUCGACUAUCUUGUGGAUUAACUUGACGGUAUUUCUCACGCUUCAAGAGUUUUCCAACACUAGUAUGAAGAGGGUGGCAUCCGUAGUAGCAGUAGAUAUUCAUAUGUUGGGAAGAUUGACAAGAGAUCAUUGUUGGUCCAUUUUAAACAAAGAGCAUUUGUUGAUAGGGAAGUUCCAGAGGAAGUAGUGAGCAUGGAGAAGAACAUUGUUGAAAUGUGUCAAGGUACACCAUUGGCUGAAAGUUUAUUGGGAGGCCUCUUACGCAACAAGGAAAAACAUGAAUGGCAGGAAAUUCGUGACGAAAACUCCCUUGUUGCAGGUCAAUAUAUUAACGGGUAAAAUAGCUUAAAGAAAAUUGUAAAACUCAGCUAUGAUUAUCUACCAUCUCCACAUCUGAAAAAGUGUUUCACUUAAUAUGCCAUUUUUCCAAGAGAUUUUGUGUUUGAAAAGGACCAACUAAUCCAAUUCUGGAUGGCAGAAGGUUUUCUCCCCCAUGUCAAGAGACCACUGUGAUAGAAGACGUUUGGAAAAUUCCUUGCUGCAACUAUAUAUAACAUAUAUUUGGAAGAUCACUGUGAUAAAAACCCGUCCAAUUUUGGAUGGCAGAAGAGCUUUUCAACUUUUAUUGCAAAAUUCCUUGCUGCAAAAUAAUAGCUAGAUGAGCACAAGAAUGUAAUACACUGUAAGUUACACGAUCUUGUGCAUGAUUUGGCUAGAGGUAUCUUAUAAUCUAAAGUAUUUGACCCGAAGAGCAUUGGAAGAGAAAAACUUUCUCAAGUUUGAUACUUUGAAUGGGACUCACCAAGAGGGAUCAAAUAGAAAAGAUAAAUGAUCCAGAACAUUUGUGCACACUGUUCUGGAGAAACAAUUAUGUAUCUGAAGAUAUGCAAUUGAGCUUUAAGUUCUUGAGAGUUUUAAAUUUGUUCAGUUCAGGAAUUGAGGUGUUGUCAGCCAAAAUUGGCAAGCUAAUAUACUUGAGAUAUCGUUGAUCUCUCCGACCCCAUGAUCGAAGUCUUGCCCAAAUUAUUUUCCAAGCUCUACAAUGCAAACAUUUAGAAUCAAUAGUUGUUUCACUCAGGAGGCUUCCAGAUGAAAUGGAAAAUAUGAUACGUUUGCGAAACAUAUAUUGCAACUAUCAUUAAAAAUCAAAGUUUUGUUUAGCAUUUUGGGGAUUAAGAUCUAUUGAUCAGUUUGAGAUACCACUAAAUAAGGGGCAAUUGACAAGACUUCAGACACUAUCGGUUUUCUACGUAGGCUUAGAGAAAGGUAGUCAAAUACAAGAAUUAGGUCAUUUGAAAAACUUAGAGGUGAAUUAAUGAUCAAGCAUCUCCAAUUAUUUGUAAAUAAAGAAGAGGCUCGAAAGCAUAAUUACAUGAGUAACCAAAUAUCUACGAGCUGGUGUAUAAUCAGAAUGUUGUGAGAUCAAUGAUGAGCAUUUGUUGGAUGGUCUUCAACUGCAUCCUAACUUGAAAACAUAGAAACGGAGAACUAUUUGGGGACUAGUUUUCCUUCAUGGUUUGGUGAUCACUUGCUACCAAAUUUGGUCGAGGGUAAAUUAAAUGGUUGCAAGAGGUGCAAAGAAAUUUCGUCGCUUGGCCAACUGAAGUUCCUUCGACAUCUUUAGCUGAUAUGAUUCCCUGAAUCGAAAUGCAUCGAAACUGGAUUUUACUAUGUUGAGAUUAAUGAUAAUGGAUCAGAAACAAUGAUGGCAAUAUCGAAGUAUUCCCGUCAUUGAAAGAACUAGUGUUGGAUGAUAUUCAUAGCCUUAUUGAGUGGAAGAGAGUUGUUUGACUUAACUCCAAAGUCUUGAGUUAUGUUAUUAUGAUGUUUUGUCAAAAUAUAGUAUUUAUUGUGGGGAUGUGUGCUAGGUUUCAAGCAACUCUUGAAGGCAAUAAAGGGAAUCCUAAGAUACUUGAACGGAACUCAGGACCUGGUCCUAUUUUAUUUUUCUAGGAAUUCUUUGGAUUUAAUUGGAUAUGUUGAUGUUGAUUAUGUGGUUUUUCUUGUUGGCAAGAAAAGCACCUCAGGCAUGGAACAUUUUGUGGGGACAUCACUGAGCUCAUGGGGAAUGAAAAAGCAAAAUUCAGUAGCCUUGUUCGCUACAGAAGCUGAGCAUGUGAUUGGUGCUUCAUGUUGUGCUCAACUCUUGUGGAUUGAGCAACAAUUUGAAGACUUUGGUGUCUUUACAGAUACUAUUCCUCUCAUGUGUGAUAAAACAAGUGCAAUGAACAUGUCAAAGAAUCUUGUUCAUCACUAGAGGACCAAGCACGCUAAUGUGAGACAUCAUUUCCUUAGAGACAAUUUUGACAAAGAAAAUGUGGUAAUGACAUUCUGUAAAAUGGAGGACCAAGUGGCUGACAUCUUCACCAAGGCACUAAGCAAGGAACACUUUAUCAAGAACAUACUAAGCCUAGGAUGCACAAGCUAAACUAACUUCACAACAGAUUUUCAAGCAAUCUCCACUUUGACUAUGCUAAGAGGGCAGUGUAGGAGGUUGCAAAAAUCUAUUUCCCAAACACUUUCUACAAUUAGUGAGAAGAAGGAGAAGGAGAAGAAGGAAAAGGA